rnacentral:hammerhead_ribozyme from 1 species
ACCCAGCUGACAAGUCCCAAACAGGACGAAACGCGCAUCCUGGAU